rnacentral:rRNA from 1 species
CCCUUAGAUGUUCUGGGCCGCACGCGCGCUACACUGACGGAGGCAGCGAGCGUGUCCUUCGCCGGCAGGUGCGGGCAAUCUUGCGAGCCUCCGUCGUGCUGGGGAUAGAUGGUUGCAAUUGUCGAUCUUGAACGAGGAAUUCCUAGUAAGCGCGAGUCAUCAGCUCGCGCUGAUUACGUCCCUGCCCUUUGUACACACCGCCCGUCGCUACUACAGAGUGCCCGUGUCCAAGAAACGGUCGGACCUGUGCGGCCUCUCCGGGCGACCGGAGGGCCGUUACGGGGAAGACCCUUUAUUUGACGCGGGUCGAUGAAGUAAAAGUCGUAACA